rnacentral:lncRNA from 1 species
CAGAGGGCAGAUUUGGCCUGGGCCCGCUCCCUCCCCCAGGGCCCCGCCCCUUCCUGGCCCCGCAUGGGGCUCUCACCGGAGGCUCGGGCCUCAGGCGACGUGCUAACUGUUCUAACAGUUGGGAGGGAUGGGGCCGCGGGCGAUCGCCAGGCUCCAGUCCCAGUGACUGUUCCCUGCUAUUCUGAGGUCCUCUGAGUGAGCCCUUUUAGGUCUCAGCUGGACUUGGAAGUUCCUGAGGAGAAGACCCACCAAAAAAGAAGCACUGGCUUCUUACCACAGAUUUCCCUCCCG